GAGUAGUAAAGAAGAAGAAAGAGAAAAAGAAGCCAACCGUUUGCUUCUUCUCUCUGCCAACAACAAGUCUGUCUUUCUUCCUUCUCCUCUUCCUACUCUUCGUCCUCUUCAUUUUUCGAUGAGGAGCGAAG
rnacentral:ribozyme from 1 species